CAGGGCUCUUGUGGCCAAACAUUAUUAUAAAUGUUCCAAGUUCAGGGCCCCAUGUUCCCCAACAACGUAGGGAGAGGAAUCCAGCCAGGAUAAAACAGCCUUGUCUCUUCAUGUUACUGCGAGGCUGUUCUUUUGCAGAGAUGAGGAAAGGACCCAGCCUGAUUAAUGUCAAGGUCUUCAUUGCAUUCUGUUGCGUGCAUGCAGGGAAGCCAGUUCUGCUGAGGCGCCCUGCCAACACAGAGAAGCCAAGCCUGUUAAAAGACAUGCUCUUCGGUCUUCUACUUUCCUGUCCAUGACAAGUGAGAGGUCAGAGCUAGAAGAACAUGGGGUGGCUAUAUACACUUACAGAAAUUUCCUAAAAUCCUUCCUGGGAGAAGAUAAAGAGAAGUGAAGUCGCUCAGUCAUGUCCAAUUGUUUGCGACCCCAUGGACUGCAGCCUACAACGCUCCUCCGUCCAUGAGAUUUUCCAGCCUCACCAGCUUCUGUGUUCCUGCAAAGGCUAUCAUAGCUCCAAGAUCCAGCAUUGACCAGAGUGGGCAUCUCUGGGAAGGUGCUUCCUUGCUGCAGCUGCUGGAGACCAGAAUCGCCACGUUCUACGGCUACCAUGGCAACCACCAGCAACUGUGAGUAAGCACUGCCCUGUGGGGUGGGGCAGGAAAAGGCCCUACCUCUCUCCUGCUUUCUGACCACUCCCUGGUGCCUCUACGGCCCAAGUUAACAGAAAACCAGCUAUUGAGAACACCGAGGGAAGUGAGAGUUUGCUGAUCCUCAGCCCUGGCAGCAGAGAGCAGAAUCUUAGAGGGGACAGGUACAUCUUAAAAUUGAACUAAGAUGAUUUAAAUGAAGACUGUCAAAGCCAAUUUUGGAUUGACUGGAAAUAGUUGAAGAUUUGAUAGAUAUGAUGUAAUAAGAGUUCUCCCUCACAAAGAACAUGCGUUUUUUCCAAUUGAUCUCAUUAUGAAGAUGGCACAACUUGUAUAUAAUUGACUUAUUUUAUAGGCAGGAUGGUGAGUUGAACUGAAGGACUAACUGCUUUCAUCACUGUCAAGUCACCACAGAUGUUCUGCUGAAAAAAGAGAAAUAGCCUUGCUGAAUUGGUUUGAAGCAGAGACUAAUAGGCAAUUAGGGCUUGGUCUGGUCUGAUGGCUUGGUGUAGCAAAUGCUGGGAACCAGUGUGUUGCAGUAGUGAAUGCCCAACAAAUGAAAUGGUUGUCUCACUCUUCUUAGGCAGUGAAUGCCCAACAAAUGAAAUGGUUGUCUCACUCUUCUUAGGCAGUUCGUUCAACUCCAUCAUCUAUCGGAAGCCAAGGGAAAAAAGACCACUGAUUGCUAAAGAUCACACACUUUUAGCAAACAUUAAUGUGCAAGUGUGAUGGGAAAUUUUGUCUAAUGAGUUCACCUAAAACAGAGCUCUUAUUUCACAAACAUAUAGGAUAUUUUAUUCACCUCAAAGUCUGAAAAGAUUAUGGGGCUUAGACCCAGAAGAUCUGCAUCAGGUCUGGCCCCGCCAAUAGCUAGCUGUGCAACUCCUGAUUUGCUAGCAUCUACAUCUCCAGAAGUUGCAUCAUGAGGUGGCUCCAAUGGUAAAGAAGCUGACUGCCAAUUCAGGAGACGUAAGAGAUGCAGGUUAAAUCCCUGGGUCGGGAAGAUCCCCUGGAGGAGGGCAUGGCAAUCCAUUCCAGUAUUCCUGCCUGGAAAAUCCCAUGGACAGAGGAGCCUAGUGGGCUACAGUCCAUGGGGUUGCAGAGUCAGACACCACUGAAGCAACUCACCGCACAACCAUGUACAUCUCCAGGAGUUGCAUCCAUGACACAACUACUGAGAGAGGGAAGGCAUUAGUGCCUGGGAGGUAGAAGCUUUUGAUUUCCCUUUUUGGUUGUUGGCCUGUCAGAAAAAAAGAUGUUCAUCAUCCUGAACCCUCCCUUGUGCCUCCCUUUUUCUCAAUUUCAGCCCUCUCAAAUCUUUCCUCUGCUAUCCAUAAACACAGAAUUCUAAAGUGAGAGGCUUUCAGGAUAUAUUGUACUAAUACAUCAUCAACAUUGUCAUUAUGAUGUAUUAACACAAUGCAUCAUCAUAGACCUGUCAAAGCUGUGAUUUAUGACUCAAAAGUGUGUUGUGAUGUAGCAAGGCAUCAGGGACUUCAUUGACUGAAUGCUUGUUUAUUUUUACACUUAAGGGCUUUGAAAGUAAGUUUCACACUACUUUUCCAAAAAGAAGAAUUAGGGGAAGACUUUGAAAGGAAGACUCCAUUGCAAAACACUGAAGGGGCCAAUGGGUCACACUUAAGAUAUAUAAAGCCCCUUGAAAAUGACUGAGAUGGAAGAAGAGUCAUCAGAAAACGGUUCUGGAAAAGAUGAGUCACUGGGCAAAGUCCUAUGUUAAGGAAGAGAUGAGAAGGAUGUCUGAUUGUCUCCAGCUCCAGGAUGACAGUUCUUUCCAGAAUAUAGUCCUUCCUUGGCAUCUGUGGUGAGUUGACUCCAGGACCCCUGUGGAUACCCAAAUCCACGAAUGCUCAAGUUCCCAACAUAAAAUGGCAGAGUACAGUUGGCCAUUGGAAUUGGCAUCUGUACACUUUCCCCUACUUAUUCCCCAGAGCCUGGUUUCUUAAGGGCUUAAAGGAUAUUAAAGCUGGAGUCUGAAAAGUUGGUUUGACUGAGGUCCUUUUAGCCUCCUCUGUAGAGCUCACCUUCACCUUUCAAUUUGUCUAGCCAGCAGCAUUAUCACUUUCACAAGUAGCAAAAUCUUUAAUCAU
ensembl:lncRNA